rnacentral:rRNA from 2 species
UCCGUAGGUGAACCUGCGGAAGGAUCAUUAUCGAGUUUUGACUGGGUUGUAGCUGGCCUUCCGAGGCAUGUGCACGCCCUGCUCAUCCACUCUACACCUGUGCACUUACUGUGGGUUCCAGACGUUGUGAAGCGGGCUCUUUACGGGGCUUGUAAAGCGGCGUGCCUGUGCCUGCGUUUAUCACAAACUCUAUAAAGUAUUAGAAUGUGUAUUGCGAUGUAACGCAUCUAUAUACAACUUUCAGCAACGGAUCUCUUGGCUCUCGCAUCGAUGAAGAACGCAGCGAAAUGCGAUAAGUAAUGUGAAUUGCAGAAUUCAGUGAAUCAUCGAAUCUUUGAACGCACCUUGCGCUCCUUGGUAUUCCGAGGAGCAUGCCUGUUUGAGUGUCAUGAAAUCUUCAACUUACAGACCUUUGCGGGUUUGUAGGCUUGGACUUUGGAGGCUUGUCGGCCGUGUUUCGGUCGGCUCCUCUUAAAUGUAUUAGCUUGAUUCCUUGCGGAUCGGCUCUCGGUGUGAUAAUGUCUACGCCGUGACCCGUGAAGCGUUUUGGCGAGCUUCUAACCGUCUCGUUUGUGAGACAGCUUUAUGACCUCUGACCUCAAAUCAGGUAGGACUACCCGCUGAACUUAAGCAUAUCAAUAAGCGGAGGA